rnacentral:rRNA from 1 species
AUUGAACGCUGGCGGCAGGCUUAACACAUGCACGUCGAACGAGUGGCGGACGGGUGAGUAAUGCUUGGGAAUCUAGCUUAUGGAGGGGGAUAACUACGGGAAACGUUAGCUAAUACCGCGUACCAUAGGAUGAGCCCAUGUGUGAGUAGGUAGUUGGUGAGUUAAAGGCUCACCAAGACGACGAUCUCUAGCUGGUCUGAGAGGACGACCAGCCACACUGGGACUGAGACACGGCCCAGACUCCUACGGGAGGCAGCAGUGGGGAAUAUUGCGCAAUGGGGGCAACCUGACGCAGCCAUGCCUCGUGAAUGAAGAAGGCCUUCGGGUUGUAAAGUUCUUUCAGUAGCGAGGCUUUAACUACAGAAGAAGCACCGGCUAACUCCGUGCCAGCAGCCGCGGUAAUUC